rfam:Thermodesulfovibrio sp. RBG_19FT_COMBO_42_12 rbg_19ft_combo_scaffold_22450, whole genome shotgun sequence.
UUGUUGGUUGAAGUCCAACCGUGGAAAUUUGACAGUUCAUCCACGUAGCUUGAGGGAGACGCAAGGGGUAACCUAAAGCGUUAAGUUCCUUGACAAAGGCUUUGUAAGAGAGCCGAGCAAACUUACGGGUUGCAGCGAAA